rnacentral:tRNA from 1 species
GGGUGUGGCACAGUGGCAAAGUUCUUGCCUGGCAUGCACAAGGCCCUGGGUUCAUCCCCAGCACUGCA